AAGCCAAUCAAUAGCCCUUGAACCUCUCCCAUGCUUCACUAAAUCCCACUAGGUUCUUCUGCUGAAAGCUAGAGAUCUCAUUCCUGAUCUU
rnacentral:snoRNA from 1 species